ensembl:lncRNA
CUCUCCAUAAAGCAUUUCUCACAGCAAACCUUAAAAUUUAGUUUAUGUGGAAUAAUAUGGGCUUAUUCUCCUGUUUCCCUUUUCUAUUCUUUAAAAUAAAAGGGUCGAAAUGAAGUCAGAAUCAAGUGGAUGCCUUGCUCAUUAUGUGGGGCAAAAUGGAAAAACACAUGGGAGCCAGCUGAAAGCUUUAUCUCUUUUAAGGAUGGCAAAAAUGAAGAAAUUGGAAACACAGACAAACAGCAUUGAAAUGUGUGGUGACAUUUAAUGUUUGCGCCAUAUGGUUUAGGAACUGAGAAUGUUUGUAGAUUUACUGAUUUUAUAUUGAGUUCUGAGCUUUGUGUUUGGGCACACAAAAGGAAAGAACUGAAUUCUAGUUAAGUAGUACCAUGGGAUAUGUUAUUUUACUGACCUGGUACAGCACUAAUGCUACUGCAUGCUCUGGUGUUGAAACUUUUAGUGCUGUUUAGCAAAAUCAUUGCAUUGGUCUUAUGUUUGCUAAUUUUUGUAAACAUAUAGAUGAUGUAGUAAGAGCAGCUUAUCUAACAUCCUAAUGUAUGUAAAGGAGUAAUUAAUUAAGAUAAAAAAUACCUAAUUAAGAGUAAAUGAAAUUGUAUACAAAGCAAAUAGCAAAUGAGACAGGUCUUAAAACAUUUUGAAUUGCUGCAGAGAAUCCUGGAGCUAUACUGCAUAUUUCAUAAUCUGUACUUUUCUACUCACCAGGAAAUCUGUACAACACCCGUAAGUAAAGAUACAGAGUAAUUGCAAGCAUACAGGUGGAAAGAUCCACAUUUUCUCAGUUCAUUUGUUGGUUUACUGCACCACAACAAAGUUGGUUUGAUUUCUUUGUGGUAAGAACCUAGUUUGCAUGUGCAUCAUGCCUUAAGGCUACUUCAACUAUGAAGUUAGCAGUAUUAAACUUGGUUGUACCGUCAAUGGUGUCCUCAGCAUUGGCUAUGUUUAAGAUGAUUUAAUUUCUUUUUGCAGUACUUGGGAAAGCAUUGUAUUACAUGGUUUUAUUGUGCAAGUUGCUUUGGGUGAAUGGUUUAAUAUUAAAUAUUGAAUGCUAUUACUGUUCAUCAUAAGGUAUUUGAUCUCUAUGAAUUAAGAGUAAUACAUGUUUGUGUUUUAAAACGUUGAGUAGUAAUUGAUUAACAUUACUGAAAUUCAACUGUAGAAUCAUCCUGUUUUGUCCUUUUAAAUCCUAAGAGCAUUUUUAAGUAAAUUUAAAAAAUCAGUUGAUCUAAUGGCAGUGCUUACGUGUAGCUGCACCAUAGUAAAAAAUAUAAAAAUAUAUUUAUAUAUGUUACCGAAUGUUCAUCUGUGGGGGUUUUUUCAUGUCAAUUUUUAAAGAUUUUAUUCUUUUUUUAAUUGCAUGUUGUUGUUUUUUUUGUUUGUUUUGGUUUUUUGUUUUUAGCAAGUUAGCUAACGUCUUUGCUGAUCUAUGCUGAUUCUGAACAGAAUGUCAGAUUGAAAUGUACUCCACGGUCUAGUCUAAUAUGUUAUUGUUCAAUAUCUUCAACUUGUGAAACUGAACAAGCAUAUCCUGUAGCACAAAAUUUCAUGUUCUGAAAACUAUAAAAAUAUAUCUUCACUCUUCAUUUUAUGGAAAAUAGUGCCUCUUUUCUGUGAAAUUAUCUAAAUGUUACCUGAGUUUUUGUGAAGUGGUUGCGGGUAUCUUUGUAUCUAUAUGCCAUCUUUACUGCCUGUAGUACUUCAGUUGAUGCUUGGCAAAAAUGCUGACAAAUUGCCAUGUUUGUAAGGCACUAGUGUGAGAGAAUGCACAAUUAUAAUAAAG